rnacentral:rRNA from 1 species
CUCCCCGUUGCUGACCCCAGGUUCGAUAGCGCCAAUUAGGCGCCACCUCGCCAAGAACCAGCUUCGGUGAAGCGACGGGCGGUGUGUGCAAGGAG